rnacentral:rRNA from 1 species
CAACAACGGAUCUCUUGGCUCUGGCAUCGAUGAAGAACGCAGCGAAACGCGAUAAGUAAUGUGAAUUGCAGAAUCCAGUGAAUCAUCGAAUCUUUGAACGCACAUUGCGCCCGCCAGCAUUCUGGCGGGCAUGCCUGUUCGAGCGUC